UACAGAGGAGCCAAGCGUUGUCCGGAUUGACUGGGCGUAAAGCGCACGCAGGCGGCCGCGCGCGUGGGGUGUGAAAUCUGGCCGCUUAACGGCCAGGCGCCAUCCCAUACGGCGCGUCUGGAGUGAUGCAGAGGUCGGUGGAAUUGCCGGUGUAGUGGUGAAAUGCGUAGAGAUCGGCAGGAACACCCAGGGGAAACCAGC
rnacentral:rRNA from 1 species